ACCAGAAAGCCACGGCUAACUACGUGCCAGCAGCCGCGGUAAUACGUAGGUGGCAAGCGUUGUCCGGAUUUAUUGGGCGUAAAGGGAACGCAGGCGGUCUUUUAAGUCAGAGGUGAAAGGCUACGGCUCAACCGUAGUAAGCCUUUGAAACUGGGAAACUUGAGUGCAGGAGAGGAGAGUGGAAUUCCUAGUGUAGCGGUGAAAUGCGUAGAUAUUAGGAGGAACACCAGUUGCGAAGGCGGCUCUCUGGUCUGUAACUGACGCUGAGGUUCGAAAGCGUGGGUAGCA
rnacentral:rRNA from 1 species